GACGAACGCUGGCGGCGUGCUUAACACAUGCAAGUCGAACGGAAAGGCCAUGCCUUUGUGGGGUGCUCGGGUGGCGAACGGGUGAGUAACACGUGAGUAACCUGCCCCUGACUCUGGGAUAACUUCAGGAAACUGGGGCUAAUACCGGAUAGGAGAUCCAGCUGCAUGGCGGCGGUCUGAAAGUUUCUGCGGUUGGGGAUGGACUCGCGGCUUAUCAGCUUGUUGGUGGGGUAGCGGCUCACCAAGGCUGUGACGGGUAGCCGGCCUGAGAGGGUGACCGGCCACACUGGGACUGAGAUACGGCCCAGACUCCUACGGGAGGCAGCAGUGGGGAAUAUUGCACAAUGGGCGGAAGCCUGAUGCAGCGACGCCGCGUGCGGGAUGACGGCCUUCGGGUUGUAAACCUCUUUCACCAGGGACGAAGCGAAAGUGACGAUAAUUGGAGAAGAAGCACCGGCUAACUACGUG
rnacentral:rRNA from 1 species